CUGCAAACUGGCAUAAGCAGAGCUGCCAAAUCGGGCUCCUUCCUGUCCACCUCCAUCUCCUCCCUGCACCAUGGCCCAGUCCAGCCUGACUCUCUGUGUCCUGGGGCUUUUCCUGGCAGUUGCCAGCGCGCAGCCAACCCUGCCUCAGCCUGCCUCAGAGUCAGUGCCCCCAGGAGGCACCAUCAAACUCUCCUGCACCAUGAGCAGUGGAACGAGCAUCAGUGGCUACUACAUUCGCUGGUUUCAGCAAACAGCCGGGAACCCGCCGAGAUAUCUGCUGUAUUACAAAGAUGAAUCUAGCAAGCACCAGGGCUCUGGGGUCCCUGCUCGGUUCUCUGCUUCCAAAGACACCUCCAGCAACAUUUGCUAUUUAACCAUCACUGGGAUCCAAGUGGAGGAUGAUGCUGCUUAUUACUGUGCCACAUGGGAUGGCAGUAGUAAAACGUAUCACAGUGAUAUGGUGAGAUAGAGAACUGAGACCAAAACUCUCCCCCACAGCCUGUCUGCCUGUGCCCAUGUGAGGGUCAGACCAUGACCUCCCUAGAGACACCAUCACAGACAAUAGAGAGAGAGACUUGCUGACAAAUAGAGAGAGACGCCUUUGAUCAUUCCUUGGGGAGUCACUGUCCCCUGCACCCAGCCACUGUCUGCCUGCCCUGCCCUAGGAUCUGCUUCACAUUGAUCUCCACACUGCCCCCCUUCUCUUGCAAACCCUGUUGAGUGAGGGCCU